UGGCGGCAUGCUUUACACAUGCAAGUCGAACGGCAGCGGGGGCUUCGGCCUGCCGGCGAGUGGCGAACGGGUGAGUAAUGCAUCGGAACGUGCCCAUGUCGUGGGGGAUAACGUAGCGAAAGCUACGCUAAUACCGCAUACGUCCUGAGGGAGAAAGCGGGGGAUCUUCGGACCUCGCGCGAUUGGAGCGGCCGAUGUCGGAUUAGCUAGUUGGUGGGGUAAAGGCCCACCAAGGCGACGAUCCGUAGCGGGUCUGAGAGGAUGAUCCGCCACACUGGGACUGAGACACGGNCCAGACUCCUACGGGAGGCAGCAGUGGGGAAUUUUGGACAAUGGGCGCAAGCCUGAUCCAGCCAUGCCGCGUGAGUGAAGAAGGNCUUCGGGUUGUAAAGCUC
rnacentral:rRNA from 1 species